rnacentral:rRNA from 1 species
GAUGAACGCUAGCGGCAGGCUUAAUACAUGCAAGUCGUGGGGCAGCAGGACUGUAGCAAUACCGUUGCUGGCGACCGGCAAACGGGUGCGGCACACGUACGCAACUUACCCUGAACUGGGGGAUAGCCCGGGGAAACCCGGAUUAAUACCCCGUAAUAUAAUGGAGUGGCAUCACUUUAUUAUUAAAGCUCCGGCGGUUCGGGAUGGGCGUGCGGCUGAUUAGGUAGUUGGUUGAGGUAACGGCUCACCAAGCCUACGAUCAGUAACUGGUGUGAGAGCACGACCAGUCACACGGGCACUGAGACACGGGCCCGACUCCUACGGGAGGCAGCAGUAAGGAAUAUUGGGCAAUGGAGGCAACUCUGACCCAGCCAUGCCGCGUGGAGGAUGAAGGCCCUCUGGGUGGUAAACUUCUUUUAUAGGGGAAGAAACCUGUGUAUUCUUACGCAGUUGACGGUACCCUAGGAAUAAGCACCGGCUAACUCCGUG